rnacentral:rRNA from 1 species
AACGAACGCUGGCGGCAGGCCUAACACAUGCAAGUCGAGCGAGGUAGCAAUACCUAGCGGCGGACGGGUUAGUAACGCGUGGGAACGUGCCCCAAAGGUACGGAAUAGCCUCGGGAAACUGAGAGUAAUACCGUAUGUGCCCUUCGGGGGAAAGAUUUAUCGCCUUUGGAUCGGCCCGCGUUGGAUUAGGUAGUUGGUGGGGUAAUGGCCUACCAAGCCGACGAUCCAUAGCUGGUUUGAGAGGAUGAUCAGCAACACUGGGACUGAGACACGGCCCAGACUCCUACGGGAGGCAGCAGUGGGGAAUCUUAGACAAUGGGGGAAACCCUGAUCUAGCCAUGCCGCGUGAGCGAUGAAGGCCUUAGGGUUGUAAAGCUCUUUCAGCUGGGAAGAUAAUGACGGUACCAGCAGAAGAAGCCCCGGCUAACUCCGUGCCAGCAGCCGCGGUAAUGUAUCG